UACAGAGGUCUCAAGCGUUGUUCGGAUUCAUUGGGCGUAAAGGGUGCGUAGGCGGAUAUUUAAGUCAGGGGUGAAAUCCCAGAGCUCAACUCUGGAACUGCCUUUGAUACUGGGUAUCUUGAGUAUGGAAGAGGUAAGUGGAAUUGCGAGUGUAGAGGUGAAAUUCGUAGAUAUCAGGAGGAACACCGGAGGCGAAGGCGGUUGCCUGGCGAUGCAUUGACGCUGAGGUGCGAAAGCGUGGGUAGCAAACAGG
rnacentral:rRNA from 1 species